rnacentral:rRNA from 1 species
CUUCCCUCUGGCGGCGUGCCUAAUCCAUGCAAGUCGAGCGAACAGACGAGGAGCUUGCUCCUCUGACAUUAGCGGCGGACGGGUGAGUAACACGUGGAUAACCUACCUAUAAGACUGGGGUAACUUCGGGAAACCGGAGCUAAUACCGGAUAAUAUAUUGAACCGCAUGGUUCAAUAGUGAAAGACGGUUUUGCUGUCACUUAUAGAUGGAUCCGCGCCGCAUUAGCUAGUUGGUAAGGUAACGGCUUACCAAGGCAACGAUGCGUAGCCGACCUGAGAGGGUGAUCGGCCACACUGGAACUGAGACACGGUCCAGACUCCUACGGGAGGCAGCAGUAGGGAAUCUUCCGCAAUGGGCGAAAGCCUGACGGAGCAACGCCGCGUGAGUGAUGAAGGUCUUCGGAUCGUAAAACUCUGUUAUUAGGGAAGAACAAAUGUGUAAGUAACUAUGCACGUCUUGACGGUACCUAAUCAGAAAGCCACGGCUAACUACGUG